UAGUUUUACAUAAAACCUUUUUCUCUUUUUCUUCUACUGCGGUUCUUCUCAUCUCUCUCGCAGGAGCUAUGGAUUCUUGAGUAUCCGUUUUUAUUUCUGAGGUUUAUGUGCUACUUCUAUAUGUUUGCCGGAAAUUUUUUUCUCCAUUUGAUCGACGUAGGCUGAUUGAUUAAUUAAGUUGUUUCUGCGAUUUAAGUUUAGUUGAUGUCGAGGAGAGGAAGGAGGUAACCCUAGAAAUUUUAAAUCUGUAUUUUUAUUGGUUGAUGUUUCCUGAUUUGUGUCCGCUUUAUGUGCUUGAUGUAGGAAAUUUAGGGGCAAAGUUUAUAACAUUGAUUUAGGAGGCAAAUUUAGUUUCCAAGACGAUGCAGAAGAAUGGAAAAACAAGAUUGGUUAACAACCUGGGGACAUAUCGCCUACACCAAAACAACACUGACUCUGAAUCUGAUUCGAGGUUGGAGCACAAUUACGCAAUUUCAUUGAGCCUAAUGUACUUAUGUACUUAGGAAGCGAAACAGAACCUGGAACUUGGAACUGCCAGGUUUGAGGCUGAACUGAUCCUGAUGCGGCGCCGCAAAUCCCUAUGUAUGGAUAUGAGCCUGAGAAUUGUGGGAUAAGAAUCUGGGCUUACUGAAAUACUUCAAAUUGUUUUGGGUUUGGAAGAAAGCCCAUGCAAAUGGAAAAUGUACAGGAGGAAUUGGUUCAAUUGAUCAAAAGAGAUUGAUUUUAGUUACGUUGUAUUUUCCGAAAGAUCGCUUCAAUUUUCUCUUUAUUUAUAUAACGUCCUCCGUACCACUUCUGAAAGCCGAUGUUCUAUCCAUGCUUGAAUCAACGGUUGUGGUGUGAGUGCGUGGAGUUGAUAGGCUGAUUAGGGUUUCUAAUUGAUGUGCAACCGAUAACUGUGAUUGAUAUUGUAAAAAAAUUCAAUUCCCCCCUCUUCAGUUUUCAAUUGAUUGUUGUUGAAGAGGAGUUUCUUCCCUUACAAGAUAGACAGUUAACGUUGGACCAAUUAGAAUUUCCUGUUGUAGGAAAUGUCGCAUGCCUGUGAAUUUUUAUGCUCUAUUUUAAGAAACCAGUAGUUUAAAAUUUUAUUCAGUUUGUUACAUAUCUCUAAGGGGUUAAAAUAAAGUCGUUUUGUAAACUAAAUCCAUCAAUUCUCUUAGACACGGGUUUCGUCGCUUUCGUGAGGACUCUGGAUUAUAGCAUUCAACGCUAUACAAGAGUUAUUAAGAAGCUUAUAUGUUUAAGCAGACCAAUGAAGAGGGAGGAAUGAUGGAAAUGCCCUACUUGAGCAAAUUCAUUAAUGAAGGUUUGACAACAAUUUGUGAUACCUAGCUCAGAAGUUCAAAUAUUCAAGUAGCUGUUAUUUAUUUUUUUAUCCAUUUAUUGUUUAUUCAUUCAAUAGAUCCGAGGGGUGCUCAUAUAAGUUAAUCAUUCAUAUUGCAUUCUCUUCACGCUUUUGUAGAAUAGGCUGUAUUUAAAUUGCAUUACAUAUAUUUAGAGUUGUUCACUUUUAGUUAUAAAAUUUAACUGGCUUUAUAAGUACUACAUUGGAUUUGUGGUUGCAUGUUGUAUAAGUAUUUAUACGUUGUAUAGGCUGUAGAAUUUGUUGCCCUGGAUUUUAUGCUUCUGUUUGACAUUAAUUCCUGUACCCUUGAAAUCUUGAAUGUACUCGAAUAUUUUGUGGUAGCAUUGGAGGUUACUUGCUCAAGAGUAUAAGGUGGAGGAGCAAAUUCCAGACAGAAUGGUGGUGAAAAAAGAUGGUUCAGUACACCCUGAAUCAAAUGAAAAGAAAACAGAACAACAACUAAAUGCACCGUCUCCAAAAUAGCUGUAAGUUGCAUUUUCUGUCAAUACAGACUAAAAUUUCUGCUAAUUUUUACAAUCCGUGAUCAUCAAAAGAUGUACUUUUAUUCGAUGGAAAUCUUCUUUUUUUCUUCCUUAAUUUAUUUUUGGUGGUGAAUUUCAGACUAAAUAUGGGAGUCUAGAUUGUUAACAAUAUAACGCAAUGUUGUGUUAAUUAGUUUGAUGUAAUUAGGAUUAACCUUAUAGUCUCUUCGAGAUACUGACAGUUAAGCAGCAGAAAGAUGAUUAACUUAAGCUUUAGUUAUGUAUCUCAAUCUUUCUUUGGUGGAAUAAAUUUGUUUGGUGUGCUUGAUUUUAAGCUUAUCUUCACUCUUCAGCAUAUGGAUUCCAAAGCUCAUUCAGUAGAGAUGAUGUCAUGAUGAAAUGUGGUCGCGACCUACUCUUUUAAAGAAUAUAAGUUGCAAUAUUUCAUUUGUCAUCACGUAGAAAGAAACUGCUUAAACAUGGGUACUCUUCUAUUUGAUCAAGCAAAUUUCUUUUGAACCUUUUAACAACUCUGCAAGUUAAUCGUGCAGGUUUAUUAUUGACGGCAUUAGGAAACAUUACAUUAGAAAUAGGGGAAAGCAAAACCCAUUUUUAGUAGUGCGAGACUUGGAGGUGUAUUUAUCGCAGCAAACAUGUUGUUUUGUCAUGUUCUGCUUCUCUUAUAUAUAAAAACUAGCAUAGUGCUCUUACGUUCAUGGAUGCGUUGUUGGUAUUUCAUUGUUGGUAUGCAAAUUCAUUGGGAAAGCUAAUCACUGUAAAUUUUACCGAGUAAUUGAAAUCCUUUUUGGCUGCGUCACUAUUGCAGUUGGCACAUUUGCUAUUGACAGGUCUCACUCGCUUCUUCUAGGUUUUCCUUUUGUGUCACAAACAUAUCAAAGUGGGGUUGCAGAGAACAGUAAAGUGGAGGCGUUGGCAAAUGUCUAUUCUUCAUCAUAUCAUGCCAUUGAUUCUUAUGCUGUUGAAUUGGCAUCUAGAUAGUUAUCAUCAUCCAUACUAGACCCAUCCCAUCAUAUUUUUGAGGCAAAGGUUAGUCAAUGUUAUUUUAAGUUUUGCUUUGAGGUGGUAUUGUAUAUAAAACUUUUAAUGAUUGUCACAGACUUUGUUGCAACUCCGUCUACAGCUAUUUCUUAUGCAUUUUACUGACAGUCGGUUCCUGGAUUUUACAUAGUACGGUUGUGUCAUAAUAAGAUUGUCUCUUCUCAAAAUUUUGGUACCCGGUUUAUAUUGAAGGAAAACGUUGCCAUGUUAGCAAGAAAUACAUUGCUUGUGAUUCUCCAUAUUACUGAUAAAUCCUAUUACCAUGACUUUCUUCUCCAGAGGUUUUGGUAGCUACACAAAAUUACUGAACAAAUGGAGAUCUAUCAAGCAGAGUGACAAAUGUUUGUUGCCUUAUUUGGUUAAUUCUCACAUAGAAAACGGAUAUAUGUUUCUUAUGAAUUAGUUUUAUGCAGUUUUUUACCUCAUUUGUGCUCAAAAAAUUGCUUAUCCAGGAGUCAAGCUUCAAGGAUAAUUGAAACUUAAGGUGUUGAAUUAUUUUAAUUUGAUUUGCUUAUUUAUCAGUAAGCAUAUGUCUUCCUCUACUCUAAUUUAUGUGAAUUUAAUAGUACCAAGAGAUUUGAAGUAGUGUCUCAAGAUGGAUAAUGUUUACGACUACAUGCUCAAUGUACUUCAUAUUACUUGCUUUGUAAUCAAGCCACGUACAUUUGAAAUGGUAUCUGUUGUCUUAGCUCAAAUGGAAGAUCACAUGGUUUUCAACCAUGUAGUUGUGGGUUCGACUCCCACGGAUGGCAUUGUUACUUAUUUUUGUGUGCUAAAACCUUACAUGCUUCCAAUGGCAGAAACAGUGAUUCUUUAUUUGAUGCUCACAGAGUGGGAACCCCACAGAGGAUAUAGAGUCGACCCUAGGGUCUUUGAGAAGCUUUUAAGAAAUCUGCUUGCUUAAGGGAUAUUCCUUCAACUGUAUUGGCCCCAUAGUCUAUAUCGAUAUUUUCCAAAGGUAAAGAGAGCCUGAUUCGAAAAAAGGGGUUUAUUUGCUGCAUCUAAUUUGAUUAUUGUCUUUCGUCGUCAUCUCUUUUCUCUUUGGUUUGUGUUUACUGUUUUUUCUGUUUAAUCGAAGGCAGCAUAUAUGCUAGGAUGUUCAUAAGAAUAACCAAAGAAAAGUUCCAGCUGAACGAUCUAACAUUGAUUUGUCUUGAUGUUUAGCAUUUUUGCUUUUCAUUUCUUUGUUGCUACUACACACCUUUGUUACCUAAACUCCUAGUCUCGGGUGUUGCUAUUUAUUCAUAUGGUCAUCCUAGCUGAA